rnacentral:rRNA from 1 species
GACGAACGCUGGCGGCGUGCCUAAUACAUGCAAGUCGUGCGGACCUUUUAAAAGCUUGCUUUUAAAAGGUUAGCGGCGGACGGGUGAGUAACACGUGGGCAACCUGCCUGUAAGACUGGGAUAACGCCGGGAAACCGGGGCUAAUACCGGAUCGUUUUUCCUACGCAUGGGGGAAAAAGGAAAGGCGGCUUCGGCUGCCACUUACAGAUGGGCCCGCGGCGCAUUAGCUAGUUGGCGGGGUAACGGCCCACCAAGGCAACGAUGCGUAGCCGACCUGGGAGGGGGAACGGCCCACAUGGGACGGGGACACGGCCCAAACUCCUACGGGAGGCAGCAGUAGGGAAUCUUCCGGAAAGGGCGAAAGUCUGACGGGGCAACGCCGCGUGGGGGAAGAAGGCCUUCGGGUCGUAAAAAUCUGUUGCCGGGGAAGAACAAGUGCCGUUCGAACAGGGCGGCGCCUUGACGGUACCCGGCCAGAAAGCCACGGCUAACUACGUG